CUUGGUCAUUUAGAGGAAGUAAAAAGUCGUAACAAGGUUUCCGUAGGUGAACCUGCGGAAGGAUCAUUAUCGAAAUUAUUGGUGAGGGUUGUAGCUGGCCUUUCGAGGCAUGUGCACGCUCGAGCCCUUAAUCCACUUUACACCUGUGCACUUAAUGUAGGUCGCCCUUAAAAAAGGUGACCUAUGUCUUAUCAUCAACCCAUCGUAUGUCUCAUAGAAUGUAAUCGAUAUCCUCGCCCUGAAAAAGCGUUGAUAAACUUAUACAACUUUCAACAACGGAUCUCUUGGCUCUCGCAUCGAUGAAGAACGCAGCGAAAUGCGACAAGUAAUGUGAAUUGCAGAUUUUCAGUGAAUCAUCGAAUCUUUGAACGCACCUUGCGCUCCUUGGUAUUCCGAGGAGCAUGCCUGUUUGAGUGUCAUUAAAUUCUCAACUCCAAGGGUUUCACGACCUUUCGGAGAUUGGACUUGGAGGUGCUGGCCGCAUAUUGGUCGGCUCCUCUCAAAUGCAUCAGCGGAAUUCAACCUUUGGCUUCCGGAUGUCAGUGUGAUAAUCAUGUUGCGCUGUCGUUUGAUCCCUCAGAGUCCGCUUAUAAUGGUCUUCGGACAAAAUCAUCAUCAAAUUUGACCUCAAAUCAGGUAGGACUACCCGCUGAACUUAAGCAUAUCAAUAAGCGGAGGA
rnacentral:rRNA from 1 species